rnacentral:tRNA from 2 species
GCUGAUAUGGCUCAGUUGGUAGAGCAGCCCUAGCAAGGGUAUGGUCGGCAGUUCAGAUAUGCCUAUCAGCACCA